ensembl:misc_RNA predicted gene, 23833
GGGCAGGAAGACAAUCUGGCUGUGACACCAGGAUUGGUCAACUGAUCUUACUAGCUAGGCAGAUAUUCCAUUCCUUCACUCCACGUGCAUCCUUCCAGGAGCUGCCUGCUGGAUGGAAGAGGAUGGCCUGUUCCUGAUGAAGAAGGACCAAUUGAGGGUCAGGGGUACAGGAGUAGUCCCUUGAUAGAAGCUGGAGUUCAUGUUUGCCUUCUCUAGUGUUAGAACUAAUGCAAGCAAGAGUUGUGAUUGAGA